rnacentral:rRNA from 1 species
UACGUGCCAGCAGCCGCGGUAAUACGUAGGGGGCUAGGUUAUCCGGAAUUACUGGGCGUAAAGGGUGCGUAGGUGGUUUCUUAAGUCAGAGGUGAAAGCUACGGCUCAACCGUAGUAAGCCUUUGAAACUGGGAAACUUGAGUGCAGGAGAGGAGAGGGAAUUCCUAGUGUAGCGGUGAAAUGCGUAGAUAUUAGGAGGAACACCAGUUGCGAAGGCGCUCUCUGGACUGUAACUGACACUGAGGCACGAAAGCGUGGGGAGCAAACAGGAUUAGAUCCCUGGUAGUCCACGCCGUAAACGAUGAGUACUAGCUGUCGGAGGUUACCCCCUUCGGUGCGCAGCUAACGCAUUAAGUACUCCGCCUGGGAAGUACGCUCGCAAGAGUGAAACUCAAAGAAUUGACGGGGACCCGCACAAGUAGCGGAGCAUGUGGUUUAAUUCGAAGCAACGCGAAGACCUUACCUAAGCUUGACAUCCCAAUGACCUCUCCCUAAUCGGAGAUUUCCCUUCGGGGACUUGGUGACAGGUGGUGCAUGGUUGUCGUCAGCUCGUGUCGUGAGAUGUUGGGUUAAGUCCGCAACGAGCGCAACCCUUGCCUUUAGUUGCCAGCAUUAAGUUGGGCACUCUAGAGGGACUCCAGGGAUAACCUGGAGGAAGGUGGGGAUGACGUCAAAUCAUCAUGCCCCUUAUGCUUAGGCUACACACGUGCUACAAUGGGUGGUACAGAGGGCAGCCAAGUCGUGAGGCGGAGCUAAUCCUUAAAGCCAUUCUCAGUUCGGAUUGUAGGCUGAAACUCGCCUACAUGAAGCUGGAGUUCUAGUAAUCGCAGAUCAGAAUGCUGCGGUGAAUGCGUUCCCGGGUCUUGUACACACCGCCGUU